rnacentral:rRNA from 1 species
AAACGCUUGAAGUCAGUCACGUCUGCCAGGACUCAGCCUUGCUUCUGCUUGGUGCACUUUCUGGUUUGAUGGGCCAACAUCAAUUUUGACCGCUGGAGAAAGGCAUUGGGAAUGUGGCACCUUCGGGUGUGUUAUAGCC